UUCAAAUUGCGAGUUAUGACAGGCAGUAGACAGCUAUGUGUAUGUGUGCAUCUGGAAGUGAAUGUCUGCAUCUGGAAGUGAAUAUCCAGAACUGAAGCUUUGAACUCCCAAACAGAGGCCUACUUCUUGGUAGCUGCAGCUGGCAUUGGCUGUUUGUACAUUUUGAUAAACACUUCAUGUGAAGAAAAAUGACAAGACAUGACAUGACAUGACAUGACAUGACAUGACAUGACAUGAGUCUUCCAAUUAGUAAAGACACAUGACACAAAGCCACCACUUACGAGGCUGAUUCCUUGCUGUGUUUUUGCACAUACACUGUUUAGUCUGGGAAAACCACAAGUUUAACAUCCAAAAAAGAGAUCUUGUUCCAUAAAGAGUUUCCCCAAAAGAAGCGGUCUCCGAAGGAAGAGAGAGUCCUGGAAAGAAGAAAGUGAAGGUCCUGAGGGGAGGAAGGAUCCUGGAAGUAUGAGAAGAUCCUGGAGAACAGAUUUCUGAGUGGAGACAAAUGCUGGGGAUUUCCCAGGGACCCUAGCCAUUAAUGCCCAAGACUGGUUAAGUUUGAACAGAUGUGCAGCAUAAACUGACAUAGUUUUCUGCCUUCCUUAAACUACAUACAAUCUUCCUGUGGGGAAGGAAAGUCAAGACCCAAGAAAGAUGAAGAAUUGUACCCAUUCAGAAAGAGGUUUACUUCUAUAGAUUUUAUUUCUAUAGAUACAGAUAUGAGCUACAACCGUGAACAAUGAUUUAAGGACAGCUAAGCAGAAUGAAAAAAUCUUUAUGGAGCAAAAAACUGAGAGAAAUUAAUUUCUUGGCAACAUAAGAUUAUCAUGACUAAUUUCACCUCUGUUCAUGAUCUGAUGUAAAGCAGGGAAUGAGAUCAUACAAUUCUCUGAAUGCCAAUCAUAUGAUUUGAACUCAGUUCAAAAGUGGCUCUGCUGAAAGCAUUUAAGGACUAGUAGCUUAGUUCAUGAGAACAAAAUCUAAUAAGAAUGAAGAUAUUACACUAAAGAACUGGUUUUGUCA
rnacentral:lncRNA from 1 species